ensembl:lncRNA
CAUCCUUGCAGCCUGGCAGCUUCAUCCGUGUUCCUCCCUCCUAGAUGGAGAAACACGCACAGCCUUUCCAAUGGUCCCCCCACCCCUCUGCGUGCCUCCCUUAAAAAAACCCCCAGGCCCCUUAAACAGCUCCUUUUCCUACUUGUCUCGGUGCCUGAUCACCAUUCGCUCUCCUUUGCACUUCACUUACAUUCUUAUUUUUUCUCUUUUUUUUCCGUUAAAUAAUUUGCCAGCUCUAUCCCACAAAUUUUCACAUUCAUAAUGUGAAAGCAGUUCAGAGUGCAGAAUGAACAGUAGGAAAUGGGAUGGGUAGGAGGAAAAAACGCUAAGAGGAGAGAAGUGACUGGGAUAGCGGAGAGGAGGAAGGAUCCGGAGCAACGGGAGAAAGAGCCGAACGUGGGAUCAACGAAACCGCGGGAAAAGGAGGAGGAACGACCAGACUGAUCUCAGUUCUUAUUCAGCUGGAAGAAAUGCCAGUUACAUAAAGAAUGCUGUGGAAAUACAGUUUGGAAUCAUCAUUGUUACUCCUUCUUCAAGACCGGAAUGAUGGAAAGAAUUUCAGCAUGUACGGUCGCAACCUCAGAAGAUUUGGAGACGGCACUCGAUUUGAAGAUUUGGAGAAGAAACCGUCAUUGUGAGAGUGAUGCAUUUACUUUUUUUGUCAAAUGACAAAGGAAAGACGGAAGGUAAAGAAGUGUCGUCAUCCGAGAUUAGUAUGCGGCUACUUCUACUCCACGUUACCUGAAACGGCACCCCAGAUUUUCAGACAUCCGUGAUAUCAGCUUCAGACCACUUUGACGCAGCUGUCGGGGAUGGUACCCAUUGGCUGACUUUGUGCCCUGACCACUCGGAGCGACCAAUCCAAAGCCAGCCUAGGUUCACGACCCCUAUACAUUUCUCCCGAGGCUUUGAUGCGAAUCUGUUCCAUGAAACCAUUUUACGGGCUAGCCUGCCAUCUUGUGCUCAUUAUUGUCAAACAUUUUGGUGAUGGAUAUUGCCCCGGAGCGGCUCAUAUGAGACAUGGUGUUUUUAUUCUUUUUCUGCAGUGAAGAUAAUUAGAUUUUAUAGCGUGAGACAGCGUGAACUUUUAAGAGAAUGUAUAAGCGUUGUUUGUUUUUCAAUUAGAUACAGUUUGGUACUAUAUCUGUAAAAUAUGUAGGCAGUAUGAUUCAUUACAAGAUUCAUCAAGUAUAUCAUUAGUAUUAAAAUAUAUCAUAUGGAGCAUAUUUUUCUUAUGUGUCCAUUAUCCAAUGCAUUCAUUUACAAUUUUUGCAUAACCUGAAAUCACAAAAUCUGAUCUAAAACCUUAUACAGUGACCUGAAAAUCAAAGCAAACUCGUGGAUAAUCCUUGACCGUAUUAUAUAAUAUGCAUCACAUUUUCUCCCAACCAUAUGUUUAUGUCUUUUGUUCUACUCAGCGCCUCAAGCCAUGAAACCAAACCAUUAUGAUUAAGUUAUGUGCAACCCAGAGACUAUCUGGAUCUGAGUAGGCAAAGAGAGACUGUCCCACUCCUUUCUGCUGGUGCUUUGAGACAUCAGAUACAGAACAUCAACCUCCACCAUCUGGUAUGCACUAAGCAGUGGAUUCAUUAAACAGCUAUACCAGAAAACUGUUUCACAACAAUGCAAAAGAACUGAUGAGACUGAGCAUUGAAAUCAGCAAGUGGUCUCCUAAAUGGUCUCCUUCAGACAAACAAGGCGGGGUGCCAAAUAGCCUUUUUUAUUUAGAGCAUAUGUUCAUUUUGAAAGCCCCUCACCAUUAUCAAGCAUGAACUGGUUUGAAUAUUUGACUAUGUUUUGCAUAAAGCAAAUGGUUCUUUAACAAAUGUCUUGUUUUAAUGGCUAAGGCAGAGAAAAUAUACAAUUGCAGAUGGUGUUUGGGAAGAUGGGAAUAAAAAAGCUGAGGAACUCUCUGAGUGAGAUGAGGACCAUACAACAUCGUGUUUUUCUUCACUUAGGGCCUGAAGGACAUUUCCCAGCUCUCAGUACUAGAGUUUCUCACCAUUAUAGUGAACCUAAGCACCUGUAAUAGACUAGGCUAGUUAUUUUCACUUUACAAAUCUUCAAAAUGAUUUCAGAGCUUGUAUUCCAGAGUGCUUUUCUACACUAGGAUGUGCUGGAUGGACUUACUGUCAUAACAGGAUACAAAUUUAAUCAAGUUAUUUGAUAGAAUAUCAGCCAAUUUGCAUUUCCUCGUUCAUCCUCAUACAUUUUAAUGGGUAACAUACAAUAAAGAAAAUCAAAUUAUA